UAAAUUUAAAGGGCCGCGGUAUCUUGACCGUGCAAAGGUAGCAUAAUCACUAGUUUUUUAAUUGGAAUCUCGUAUGAAUGGCUGGACAAAAGAAGGUCUGUCUCUAUAAUAAUUGUUGAAUUUAACUUUUAAGUGAAAAGGCUUAAAUAACUUAAAAAGACGAUAAGACCCUAUAAAGCAUUUUAUUGGGGCGAUAGAAGUAAAAUUAGUAACUGCUUAAAUUUUGUAACAAAGAUAAAUGGGAAGAUCCUAAAUAAAGAUUAAAAGGUUAAGUUACUUUAGGGAUAACAGCGUAAUUUUUUUUGAGAGUUCUUAUCGACAGAAAAGUUUGCGACCUCGAUGUUGAAUUAAAAUUUCUUUACAAUUGCAGCAGUUGUAAAAGAAGGUCUGUUCGACCUUUAAAUUUUU
rnacentral:rRNA from 1 species